CCACAAAUACAGGGAAUCCACUGUUCACACGGACAGAGUCUCCCCUGUAUUUGUACGGCGUCGCACAAGUACAAAAGUACAAACAGUAUACAACCACAACUAAAUGAAUAUACAGAUAGCUAUACAUUCAUACAUUCACCAUUCACACCGUAGUUUGCAUUCGAUGUUUAAACAAAAGUCCACGAAAAAUCUUUUGAAAACUGUUCUAUACGCGAAAACUUUUAUCUUUUAUAAAAGCUACCACGAGGGGUAGAAAACCUUUUAUUUUACCAAUCCAGAAACCCUUUUAUUACAUUCAUGAAAGUCCACAUAUUCCAAAGUAAUAAAAAUACUGAACCAUAUAAACUGACUAAGCUAUAACAACAGAAUAGUAGGGAUAAAACUAAACCGAUAACCUGGGUCGGAAGCUCUAUCGACCGCUACGAACGUACCUCACGUCUCGUCCCAAAACUCAACGCCUGCAAUACCUGAAAAAUAGUGGGGG
rnacentral:lncRNA from 1 species